ensembl:lincRNA
AACGCUGGAACCCUGCACAUCACACACACCAUACACACACACCGCUGCACACACACACCACACCUCAAACCAGCUAAAAAAGCACCGGCGCUACCAGUGCGGUGAGCGGAUCUUGCGGGAGGAGACGUCCUCCCACCGCCGCCGCCCCUCGCCCUCAAACAGCCCUGAGCCUGCGGCUCUGGCGCUUCCGCUGGGGGCGCGGGACCCUGGAGGUUUGCGGCCCAGCUUGCACACAGGGGUGCGGCGGAGCCCGGGUCUGCGCCUGCCCGGCAGCGCCCCCUGCUGGCCCGAACCUCAGCGCCGACUGCGAGCUGCGCUAGGUUCGGCCCUCCCCUCCCGGAAGGCUCAGGAACGCAGCGGUGGGCCAGAGGCGACACUUGCGAGCCUCCUGAGAGCCUGUCCUGCGGGACAGAUCUGGCCAGAAAGGAAGGAAACAGCCUUGUGCUCCUGAGGUGCUGAGACCGAGGGAAGUUAGGAGCUGGUUCUUGCCCUCCGGAGGACUCCGCCGAUUGGAGAUGAGGCGGACGUGUUUGUGGUGAGUGACAAGUCUUGUGUGCUCGCAAUGACAGCAUUAAGCCGGUGUGAUGGUGCACACCUGUAAUCCCAGCACUCAGUCCCAGCAGGAGGAUCGCUGCGAGUGUGAGGCCAGCCUGGGCUACACAGUGAGUUCCAGGCCAGCCUGAACUGCACAGCAAGACCCUGUCUCCAAAAAACCAAACAAAACAAAACAAACUGUCACCGCCAUGAUCAAAACAAAAGCAGUGCAUCUCGUAGCCUUCCAGUAAGUGGUGAGUCCCCCCGGGGGAGCAUCUAAACACCACGGAGAUAGAAGUUGAGUCUUGCAGCGGUGCAGAGGGCUCUGUGGGCCUCUCUUUCCUGCUCAGAGGUCCUGCAGGCCCAGGCUGGCCUGGAGCUCAUUGCAUCAGCAGGAGGCAGGACUGGCUUUUCCCAGAAGCAGGUGGGGAUGUGAUGGGGGAAGUUGGGCGUGGGGCGGGACGGGAAGCCUGCCAGCUUCCUGGGUCCACUCUGGUCAGCUUUCACACAGGGCCACAGCAGAUUCUCCGAAGAGCAGACACUGGUAGUACUCCCAAGGAACCAAAGGCCUGGGCCUCCAGGGUGACCUGAGGCAGGUCACCUCACCUUCCCUCAACUAAAAGGCCUGUCACUCUCUCUGUAAAUUCCUCUUCCUAGCUGGUUGUUUCACUCGUGAUGCCUCCAAAUUUUCCACUCAGAGGAAUUGUGUUUUUCAUCUUGAAAGAUCCUCUAUAUGGCCCAAGUCUCCCGCUUUUUGUUACUGUUGUUCUGAGACAGGGUCUUGGCUUCGUAGUUUAGGCUGGCCUUGAACUCACUGUGUAGGCCAGGCUCACCUCAAACUCUAGGCAGUCCUCCUGCCUCAGCCUCCCAAAUACUGAGAUUACAGGUGUGUGCCUCUAUGCCUAAUUCCCUUACUUUCUAGUUUAGGAGACUGACGCUACAGAGGCCCAGUGACUUGUUUAAGGUUGUGCAGGAAGUCAGCUGUCCCUUUAUUUUAUUAUUUUGAGAUGGGUUGACAAAGCAGGGGCUUGGAGCACCCCCCGUAUGGGCUGAAUGGCUGGGUGUGUGGGUGGGGCAAUUCACAACUACAAGGCUUCUGAGCCUUUUUUAGGUGGUGGUGGUAGUGCUGGAAAUUGAAGUUAGGGCUUCACACGUACAAGGCAAGUGCUCUACCAGUGAGCUGUACCCCCAGCUCUUGAUUGUUUGUUUAUAGUACUGGGGAUGAAACCCAGAGUCUUUGCACCGAGCUACAAGCCCAGCCUUUUAAAAAUGUUUUUAUCAGCUGGGUGUUGUGGUGCACGCCUGUAAUCCCAGCACUUGAUCCCCAGCAGCAAAAAAUACAAAAGGGAGGGAUAGCUGAAUAACCUGGGCCCAUAGAGAGUACGUGUGUGUGUGUGUGUGUGUGUGUGUGUGUGUGUGUGUGUGUAAAAAUCAUUUUUAAACUGGAGGGCUUGCAGGCAUGGUGGUGCACCCCUGUGAUCCCAACACAUGGGAGGCUGAGGCAGGAGGAUUAAGGUGAAUUUGAGGCCAGCAUGGGCUAUACAGUGAGACCCUGUCUCGAAAAACAAAAACAAAACUGGAAAGUUUUGUUUUGUCCCACCCUCGGGCUGAGUCCAUUCUGCAGCUGCCUAGCCUCGGGCCCAGCCAGGGUUACUUGGGAUCUGGCAGCCACACUGGCUCAUCUUACUUCAGCAUUCACACGUGUUCCUGGCCUGGCCUGCAGGGGCCUUGACCCCAGUCCAUCUUGAGCCAGUUCAAUUUGCCCAGCUUGGGGCAUUCAGGGUGAGGCCAGAGGCAGCUCUGCUGAGGCCAUCCCCAGAGGCAGCUCCCAGGGGGUUGGGGUGGGGAGACUUGGGAAACUAAAUGAUAACUUCCGUUACUGCCCCCACCCCCACUAAACCUCUUUUACUGGGAUUUUCCACCUGCAAAGGCCCAGCUAGAACAGAUGUGGUGUCUGUUUGUUUGUUUGUUUAUUUGUUUUGUUUUGGAGACAGGGUCUCACUAUGUAGUUCUGGCUAUCCUUGAACUCACUAUGUAGCCCA